rnacentral:lncRNA from 1 species
GUUUGGGACCCAGUGUUGGUCGGGUUGUGAUCGCCGUAAGGAUCACGGUGGUAUCGAGGAUACCGAGUCGUUGUAUAUUCGUGAUGUUGUACGAGAGUCAUGGGUAAAGAUCAAGCUCCUUGUGUUCAUUUACUGAUCGCUACGGUAUUGUUUAUACCAAGCUUGAUUUGAUCCUGAGAUGAUCGUGUGAUGUCCGAGGUUGGUAAGUGAUGCAUGUGUUGGUUACGAGGUAACCGAGCAAAGUAAGUGGUGCAUGUGGUGUCAUCAUGUUGCAUCCUAUUAUUAUCGGAUUAAUAUAUUCAUGUUGAGAUAGUUGUAUCAUGUUUAUGUUGGUCAUGCCAUGUUAUUCUGAUGAUAUCAUGUUAAUUCAUGUUUAACCUGUAAUUGCCAUGUUGUUGUCUGACUUGAAUGCUUCUGGUUCAUUGUGAGCUUGCAAGUACAUUCAAUGUACUGACCUAGCAUGUCAUGCCAGCUUGCAGGUCAUGCCGGAUUUGAUUGCUUGCUUGUCGUGGUUUCCGUUUGUGCGAGCUAGGAUAAGCGUUAUAGCCAGAGUCCCCGCGGAAUGGAGUUCACCACCGUCAUCGUUGUUCCACUGCUAGAGUUAUUCCGCUGCUUCGAGUUGUUUUGCUGCUUGCAUAGAGCAACUGAGGAUGGUGUAGUGUCGCCGUACCGAUGUUAUUCAUUGUAAUAUCGGAGACCUUGUAUUCAUAUUCGUGUAAUAAUAGAAAGCUGGUUUUUUCUAUGCUAAGCAGUGCCGUAUUCCAGAAGACUUCUCCUCGAUCUCUGGGCUAGAAUAUGGGGCGUUCCGGUUUUCUCUGAUCCGGGGUGCCACAGCGCUUGGUAUCAGAGCAGGUCUGGCUGUAGGACUCCCUAGACCGCGCGAAUGUUAGAAAUCGGUAGUAUAGAGUCUGGUUUGUUGAUUGCAGUUGAUUGCUGCAUUUAUUUGUCACAUAGCAAUGCAUAUAGCCUUAGUAUUUGUACUAACGAUUUAUCGGGUGAGUGUAGAUGGCAUCAGUUCGGAUCCACUACAGCUCAACCUUUGCAUUUUCCCUAGUUCCUUUUCUUUCUGUAGUUGGUGUCAAUUCUGUCCUAGCAGAGUGAUGCCAAGUGAUCCCGACACUGUUUGCAAAAAUGGUGCUCAGGUAUCACGCCGAUGUUUUUCUUUCAGUCCUGCCUAUCAUUUUGGUGAUGGACAUGCUUCUAUCCCGGAUCGUUCUUUUAUUUCGUCGUGUUGGCAACCCUUAAUGAUAUUAAUUAUCAAGAAGGGGCAAUGUCAGCAGCCUCAGUUUUUUUCCCCGCAAUCCUAUUUCUUGGAUGAGUAUGGAUCUUUUUCCGUCCGCUUGAUAAUAAUGUGGUUGCGACCUUCGUGUCCCGCUGCAUGAUUACCGAGUGUGUCCUCGCCUCCGAGCUAGUCCAGGUUGCUAUCUGGCUAAGCUAGCACUUGGUGUAGCGCUAUUUACACCAAUUCUUCCACACAUUUAUUCGUCCUCGUGCACAUCGUCACAGCAUAUUAGACCGCAAUACUGGAGUUUCCGCGAGAUUUGUGUGCUUAGGUGUGCAUGCAUAUUAUUGUGUGAGUAGCAGUAAUAUGUGGUGAUUGCUUGAUUAAUUAUACUAGUAGAAUGCUUGUGUGCUUUUGUUUUAGUCGUUUAUGUUGCUCCUUUCUUUGGGCCUUCAGUGUUACAAUUUUUUCCCCUAUUAAUGCAUAUAUUUGGAAAUUCAGCUAAACAGAAUGGAAUUAUCAGCUGACUGCAAUGAAAUUGGGAAUAUCUUGUCUGAAUGCAAAAGAAAUCCUGGAUGGACCGUCAGUAUCAAGUUUGCAUUAGCAUGCACUCAUCACAACAAUAUGACUAAAUCAGCAAGAAGGUAAAUUGUGUGCAAGAUUGGCAGAAGAGUAUCAAAAGUAUGGCUCAGUACAAGUUUAAUUUUUCAUUGAGGAUGAUUUUGGAACUCGAUGUACCUGGAAGCAAACAAAACUAUGGCAUAUACUCAGAAAGGAGGAUAGUCCAGUAAAACCCUGUUUCAUACAAAAAAAUCAAUAGCAAAAAUAUUCAGAUGGUUUUAUAUGUGGAAAUUGGUCCGCAUAUCACAAUAAGAAGCUUCUGGUGAAAGCAACCCAAUCUUCCCUCGCAAGAUACCAGAGAAGUUUCCAAGGAAAGAUUCAUCUAUCUUCCUCAGUAUGAUAUAUGGAUGAUUUCUCGCGCAAGGUACCAUGUCUUCUUCAGUAAGCAACCGCAAAAGCUUCCAGCAUAAGGUACUGAGUCUUUCCCCAGCAAAGUCUUUAAGGGGGUAAGCUUCUGAAGCACGAUACCCAGUCUUCUUCAGCAAGCUGUCCGAUGAAAGUUUCGAGCACAAGCCAGCAAAUAUUCCUCAGUAAGACAUUGGUAUAAGGUAGUACGCUCUGAAUUGACAGCAUAUGGUAGUGAAUCCCAAGAAUCAGAUCUACAACAUUUCGGUCAGAAUCAAGAAUCAGUUAGAAUACACGUCUGUCUCGGAAUCAGGCCCUCAUAUAUAUGCAAUGAGCAUACCAUCAUGAUCUUACAAGUCACUCGGAUGAGGAUCUGAUAACCACGUGAGGAUGGUUAAUAGAAGAAAGCCAGUAUACACCGCAGUGUGACAAAGGAUUAUGAGGAUUGACGACAUCAAUGAGCUCAAUACAAGUACCCGUGAACCUGGAAAAUGAUCCUGAUGAGCCCUUGUCCCCUUUUUCUCCAAUGAUGGCACCACGCCUGUGAUCUGAGUUGUUUCUAGCUAUCCGGGGAGAAUGCCGAUUUCUGUUUCUCUCUUCAACGACUGUCACAAGUCUGAGCUGCUUAUCGGCCAUCUCGUACAGCUGUUGAGUUUCUUUUUGUGACAGUAGCCCUAUAGCUACUUUUUGGCUAUUUUAGGGAGCUGCCACCUUCUUCUUAUCGACCCGGUCUCAUGCUCUGAGCUGCUUUUCGGCCGUCCUGAGCCGUGGUUGAGUUAUUUCAGUAAUGUCCCAGAUCUGAGUUGUAAAGACCGUUUUGGUGGCUACUGACUUAUUUGCCGAUUUCUUGCAAGGGUUUCGGAUGAUCAUUUCCCAACGAUCAGAACUUGAGAGGUGUUGAACCUGCCAUAUAAUGGGUUACCCUAUCAGAAAAAUGAGGAUAAGCUACGAUUGCCAAAAAAUUGCACCGACAAUACCUAUGGUCAUAUGAAGAAACAAUAUGACCCAGCUCUUUCAGCCAAGGAUCCGGACCAAGAAAACAAUAAUGAAGGAGCAAGACCAGUGAUGCAGGUAUGAAAAUUGUAUACGACCCCCAUGGUGCAGAUCCCCCGGACAGUCUAAGUUAGUAUUGAUCCGCAUGGAUAUGCCUACAACAUGAGUAAUCGGCAUGAGGAAUAAUAGUCUGGAAGCCUGAGUCCUCACUUACAUGAAUCAUCAUGGAUAGCCUGUCGUGAACAAAAAUUUCCCGUCAGAACCACCAUCAGUCAAGUCUGCAGAUAUUAUCAUACAGGCCAAACCCUUUAUGCUGGCCACGACAGGAGACAAUCAAAUAUUUGGUAUGGAUCCGAUACCCAUGACAAUGGAACCAGUUAAGAUGAUUCAGAAACUUCUAUGAUGAGUCAGAAUUUGUCAAGAAACGGAUAUGUUUUAACUCACUGUUUGGAACCCAAAGGACCUGCAUUUAGCAGAGAAACCCAAUGCAAUGAGUCAGAGCUUGAGUUUUCAUCAAAAAAAUCUGAUCAUCAUUACAUGAAAGUUUGUCAGUGCCGGGUGGCACACCCAGCGGAAAUCACUUUUGGAUUUGUGAGACGGACAUAUAUUUUAGUCGUGAUAAUUAAAUCACACUCAGCUAGUUAGCAGAACUAAAAAUAAAUUGGAGCCUAUAUAAGAAUGAGCAAGCCAGGUAAGAGCUGUCAGAAUGAGGAUACAGUGAAUCAAACCACCCCAGGGCCAGUCAGAUAAAAAUUUAGUGGGAACAACCAUAAAGGAAAAAGGAUACCCGAGUUGGAAACGGUUUCCUUAAAUUAGAAUAUUCAUACCAGUUCCUGGAGAAACCAAAUCUCGAGGAUGAGAUUUCUUUAAGGGGGUAAGGUUUGUAACAGCCUGAUUUUUGGCCCUUUCUUUUUCUUUUGUUUUUCCGAGGUUUUUGCCUGAGUUUUUCUUUUUCGUGGCUUUGUGGUCUGGAAACUGAAGGAGAUGACCUCUUCUUUGCUUCCAGAGUGGCUUGCCAUUCCCAAAUCUUUCCCUAGACCCUGUCAUUUCCAUCCUAGCCCAAAUCCCAAUAUCCUUUUUAUUGGGAAUAUUCCUUUUCUAUUAAAGGAAUAACACCAAUUGCCCUAGGUUGUGAAGCAACCUAUAUUUCCCUCACUCCAAAAAGUCCCAAGUAAUUAUCAUAAAUUUUUUGGGUCAUAUCUUGAUCAAAUAUGGCAAAACUUUGCAUUGCCAUGUUCAGAAAUAAUCCUCCAAUAAUUCAUUUCCUAUUCUGCACUAAAUGGCACUUUGUGAAGGAAGUGUCAUUUAUAUUUAUCCUAUUGACUCCCAACCUUUUUGGGAAUGUUUAUAUGUCCAAAUAAUUGCCUCAUGCACAAGUUCAAAUUUAUUUGCGUAGCCAAUCUUCCUGAGUGAAUUUUCAAAGUUUCUGUCAAACAGAAGGCUUUGUGAAGGAAGUACUAGCUAUGAGUACCCAAACGAUUUGAAAUUUUGCACACUCCUUAAUGUGCUCAUAUUAACCACCUCCAACCAUUUGAAGCCCUAUCCAAUCAUCUAUGUGAGCACAGGAGCCAAUCUUUGUUUCUGGCAAUAUUUUCAGGUUGUGAGGCAAGUAUAUUUUAUAUUGCUUCAAAAAUCCUGAUAACUUACCAGAUCAUUCUUCUACCCAUAAAACAUCUCUCCACCCAUUUUGGCAUCAUUCCAUUGAGCCAUUUGACCACCAUAAUUAUUCCAAGUUUCUUGUCAGUAGAGAUGUUUGUGAAGCAAGUGCUAUUUUGGUUUGUCCAUUUGGCAUGAUCUUUUUACAGCAUCAUCAUAUGACCAAAUGAUCAAGCUUUGCCCAAUUUGAGCUCAAGUUGACACUCCAUGUGAGAGCAUCUUGCUGAUCUUCAUUUCUGGACCAAGUAUGCAGUUGUGAAGCAACUGCAGUAUAACUUGAUCCUUUUACCCUCAAACCCCCCAGGACUGUAGUCCCUCCAUAGCUAAACCCCCCAGACAACAAUUCUACCAUUCAACCUCUCUGGUUUUACCUCUAGGAUCUUGCCAAGUUUGCAACAGCAAACUUGUGGAGCUUGGUUUACUCCACUCUCUUUGUCUCUGCCUGUCUAUUUACCUUAGUAAUACUCCACGCUGGAAGGACUACACGGUAGACAUGAUUUAGCCUCAGUAAAAACACCAGAGCAUGCCAUGCCAGUGGUGACCACGAGGACAGCCAGCCAAAACGGUGGUCUAGCCACUGUUGGCCUCGGCAUCGUCGCUCCGGUUGGUUUUGGCUUGUCCCCAGGUGUCUACCAGCUCAGCAUCGUCGUCCUCUUCACCCUGGACCCCUCUCCCCCUCCGACCGCUUCCUGGUCGGCGCUCGUCGCCGUGCACCCACGGACGCAUUGUGGCCGCCAAGGCUUUAAUGGCGUUCAGCCAUUUCUUCCUCUGCUCCCCUCGACCCCGUGAGCUCUGUCGCUCGUCCGCACCUCCCUCGUCGCCUUGCCACCCCUCGCCGUGACCCUUGGCCGCGUGUGCCCAUCGCCGGAGCACGGACACGUAGCCGCGGACGUGCCACGAUCUCCCCUCCUCGCCCUAGCUAUUUAAGCCAUCCCCGGCCUCGUCCAAGCUCACCUCGAGCCUUGCCUCACCCCCUCUAGCCCUCCCCGUCCACUCACUCGAGCUCCAGAGCCCCUCCCCACCUCUCUCUGCCGCCAUGGCCGCCGCCUCGGCCCGGCUAGAUUAGCCCGAGUCCGAGCCCCUCCCUCACUCCUUCCACCACCAGUGAGAUCCACUCACUUCGGCGCCCUUGCCCAUGCCCUUUCGCCCUUGCCGGAACCACCGUGGCCGCGAGCUCCAUCUCCUCCUGAAGCUUCCUCCGCCGGAGUCCAUGCCCUGCCCGACCCCUUCCUCUUCGGUGUGCGCCACUGGCUCAGGCCGACGCAGCUCUCCACGCUGAGCUCGUCGGUAGGCGGAGCGUCGCCGGAGGCCUUCUGUGGCGCCGGCUAUCGCCGCCCGAUGCCAGCGGCCUCCCUCUGCCUCGCGGGCGAGCGAGAAGAAGACGACGACGACCCAGGUAGCCGCGGGCCCCGCCAGUCGGUGGCUGGCCGUUGACCCUGCGGGCCAGCAUGGAUAAGUGACGGGCCCCACCCGUGGGACCCGCAUGCGUCAGCCCCGCCACUGUUCCAACGGAUAAGGUGAAAGCGUAUUCCUCUGUUUACGUUUUGUCUUUUUCUAUUCAAGCCCCUAGUUGAAAAGUUUUCCAUUAUAGAUAGGUCCCUGGCAGUAAUACUCUUAUAACUUUUUAUCCGUAACUCCAAAUGAGGUGAAACCAACGCUCACUUCUUCGUUUCGUCGAGCCCGUUCUGUUGGCCAUGUUUUCACUAUGGCUUCACACUGUGAAAAUGACCAUUAUUCCCUUGCCCUUAUUUAGCAACCUCCGAGAGAGAACGUUUUCUAGCGAAUAUUUCCGCGGCUUCAUCGCACUUCUCCCCGGUGCCUUCUUCAUCCCCAGGCAAGCCACAAUACCCACUUGCAUGAUAGUCAUGUAGUAGCCAUGGUUUUCAACUUGAAUCUUUAUUAAAUAUUUGCUUGUUGAAAAGAUGGUUAUCGUUGUUUCGGUAAUGUUCAGAUUUGCAUGUUCACUUUUGUGCUAUGUUGUCUUAUACUCUAUGAUCAUGUUAUACCUGCUAGUAUUACUUUUCAUAUGUUUAUGCUUGCUAGUAGUACAGGUUGAUGUUGGAGAUGGUCAUGCUAGUCGGUAUGCCAUGUUCGGUGGAUAUGAUUGGUGAUAUGGUGGAAAGUUAUGUGAUACUCUCAUGAUGAUGUUGAUAUCAGGUUCAUGUGUUAUAGUUGGCAUCAUGUUAUUUUAUCAUGGCUCAGCAUAUUUGCAUUCAAGUUUAACCGGAUUAAAUUGAACUUGAACACCUAUUGGCUGAGUCAUGGUGCCGCUGAAUUGAUGCUGACCAGUGCAACCACGCUUACCGGUAUGGUACGGUCCUAACUGGGUCUAUUGUUGUGCCUCUCGCUGGUGCCUCCAAUGAGGGAAGGUUAUGGGCGCGUGCUACCCUAAUCAGGUAGGCGGAGCAUAACCUUGUGUGCCCCGUAGUUAUUAUAGCCGGCGGAUCCCCGUGUGGGAUCGUUUAUGUGUUUGGCCAUGAUGGUGGUCGUUGUGUCUGGAGGUAGGCACGGGGUCACCCAUGAAUUAGCUCAGUGAGGAGUGAGUCGGAGUGGUCGGGAGAGUGUCAUGGAAAUAGAUCGGUUUUGUCGGAACACCGUUUGUCCAGCCGAAUGGGAGUGCGAGGCCAUUGGUUCCGUAGUGUGGGUACAGUGUACUAACCUCUGCAGAGUGUAUAUUAAUCUAUCGAUAGUCAUGCCCACGGAUAAGGGCCCAGGUCGAGAGAAGGUCACGCCAUGAGUCAACAGUAAUAAUAAUAACGUGCCUAAUAAUAACGAGACGGGCCAAGUGUUGGUCGGGUGGUGAUCGCCAUAAGGAUCACGGGCCAUGUAUUGGUCGGGUGGUGAUCGCCGUAAGGAUCACGGUUUGGGGCCAUGUAUUGGUCGGGUGGUGAUCACCGUAAGGAUCACGGUUUGGGACCCAGUGUUGGUUGGGUUGUGAUUGCCGUAAGGAUCACGGUGGUAUCGAGGAUACCGAGUCGUUGUAUAUUCGUGAUAUUGUACGAGAGUCGUGGGUAAAGAUCAAGCUCCUUGUGUUCAUUUACUGAUCGCUACGGUAUUGUUUAUACCAAUCUUGAUUUGAUCCUGAGAUGAUCGUGUGAUGUCCGAGGUUGGUAAGUGAUGCAUGUGUUGGUUACGAGGUAACCGAGCAAAGUAAGUGGUGCAUGUGGUGUCAUCAUGUUGCAUGAUAUUAUUGUCGGAUUAAUAUAUUCAUGUUGAGAUAGCUGUAUCAUGUUUAUGUUGGUCAUGCCAUGUUAUUCUGAUGAUAUCAUGUUAAUUCCUGUUUAACCUGUAAUUGCAAUGCUGUUGUCUGUCUUGAAUGCUU